AGCAUCUCCAUGGAUUUGCUCCUUUCUUUAUGCUUCAUCGUUCAUAAAUCCUCUUUGGACAUUAGAUUUGAUCAUCUGUAACUUCUCCAUUGUGCUUGUUUUCCUUGAAUCUCUAUGUAUUAAAAUUUAGGAAACUUCAAAUCAAUUAUAUUUAAUCAAUCUUCCUUCUUUCAGGCUUCUUUUUAACCUGACCACUUGUUUGUUUGUUUGUUUGUUUGUUUGUUUGUUUGUGUUGGGGAAUACAUACAUACAUACAGUACAUUUUGAUCAUAUCACAAUCCUCCCAGCUUCUCCCCUGUUUCCUGUACCACUUUUCCCUCUAACUUAAUGUGUUCCUUUUUUUUUUAACCCACUUAGACAACUCAGUGCUACCUGCCUGUGCAUGGGUAUAGGACGGUCUACUAGAACAUGGGUGGCCUCACAGAGGCAAUAUUUCUGAAGAAAACUGACUUCUCCUACAGCAGCCAUCAGUUACAAAUAGCUCAGAGGCGAAGGGUAAAAUUAAUGAGCCCUUCCCUCAUCUAUACAGGGAUUUUAUCUGGCUACAUCUCAUGCAAAGCAAGCAGUCUUAUGCAAGCAGUCGCAGCUGCUAUAAUUAUGUUCAAGGGACCUGGUAUGUCCAGCAAAUACUGUCUUGUUGCAGACAUCCACUACCUCUGUAUCUUAAAAUCUUUCCACCCACUCCUAUGCAAUGAUGCUUGAGACUUCAGUGGAGGGAGUGUGAUAUAGCUGUCUUAUUUAGAGCUGGGCACUUCCCAGUCUCCUACUUUUUACAUACUGACCAGCUGGCGGUCUUUAUAUUAAUUGUUAUUUAUUGUAAAACAAAGCUUCCCUUGUGAGAGUCGAGAAAUGUGCUAAUCUAUAGCUAUAAAGAUAAGACUGUAGUUUAUUACUUUGUCCACUUAGCAAAUUUAUAUUAUUAGAUUCUUCCCUAGGGCCUAUGACCUACCCAUUCACGGGGUUAUUUUGGCCCAAUUAACAAUACCAGAUGUGAAUUCCAUCUUGAGGAAUAGAUUUACAUCCCAUCAAAAAUUGUUGGUUACUCCCAUAACAUUGGUACUGCAAUUGUACCAGGGGAUAUAUCUUGCCAGGACAGUCAUUAUUGUAGCUUUCUGGGUUCACAGCUGGAUAAAACUCUUGAUUAUUUUCUGCCCUACCACCAUGCAUGUCACCUUCCAGCAUGAUGAAAGCUAGCCAAUAGGGGUGAAGCUUCCAGGUUGGCACCACUUGAUUAAUAUUCUAUUUCUAUUUCUAUUCCUGUUCUAUUACCCAAGAAUGUCAUCUUCAGUGACAGAUCUUAUCAUGAAGUUGUGGGGUACAACCAAGGACAUUGGGAGUAGCCUGUAAUCUUUGAAGGGGACCUCACUGUCUAUGGGAUCUCACUACCCAAGAUUUUUUUUUUUUAAAAAAGGAACCUGUCCCUAGCAUUGGCCUUUGUUUUUUUGUUUGUUUGUUUUUGUUUUGAUAGCCAUUGAUGCCUGGGAAUAGCAUUCUACCCCAUUCUAGAGUUACUUCACUUAAAUUCCUUUUGUAUGUGAAUAGAUAUGUAUCUUAGGGAAAUGCUACAGUAGGUUUCCAUAUGACAUUUUCUCCUUUUUUUUUCAGCAUUCCCAUAUUAUUUUAAGAGAUAAUUUCAUCCAGAAAUUACAAAGAAUCUGUGGCUGUACUAUAUUUAUAGAUGCAAAGAUACUUUUAUCAGUUUAAUUAUUAAUAUGUAGGUUAAAAAUCAGUGACAAAAAGGACAGGCAAAAGGCACUUCCGCACACAAAAUAUGCAUAUUCUAUAUUUUUCAAGAUAUCUUCAAUUUAAAAACAUAUUUUUUCAUACAGUAUAUUUUUGAUCAUAUUCUUUCCCCUCCUCUACUCCUCUCAGACUCCCUCACCUCCUUAUUCAUCCAAUUUCAUGGUCUGUCUAUAAAAAACAAAUAGGAAAGGCAACAUAAAACAAAAAUAAAAACAGACAAACGC
rnacentral:lncRNA from 1 species